UACGGAGGGGGCUAGCGUUGUUCGGAAUCAUUGGGCGUAAAGGGCGUGUAGGCGGCCGAUCAAGUCAGACGUGAAAUCCCUCGGCUUAACCGGGGAACUGCGUCUGAUACUGGAUGGCUUGAGGUUGGGAGAGGGAUGCGGAAUUCCAGGUGUAGCGGUGAAAUGCGUAGAUAUCUGGAGGAACACCGGUGGCGAAGGCGGCAUCCUGGACCAAUUCUGACGCUGAGGAGCGAAAGCCAGGGGAGCAAACGGG
rnacentral:rRNA from 1 species